rnacentral:rRNA from 1 species
GAUGAACGCUAGCGGCAGGCUUAACACAUGCAAGUCGAGGGGCAGCAUAAAUAGUAGCAAUACUAUUGGUGGCGACCGGCGGACGGGUGCGUAACGCGUAUACAACCUUCCCUAAACAGGGGGAUAAUCUGGAGAAAUUCGGUCUAAUACCCCAUAACAUCAGAGCAGGCAUCUGUUUUGGUUAAAAUUUCCGGAGGUUUAGGAUGGGUAUGCGUAGCAUUAGCUAGUUGGUGAGGUAACGGCUCACCAAGGCGACGAUGCUUAGGGGGACUGAGAGGUUAACCCCCCACACUGGUACUGAGACACGGACCAGACUCCUACGGGAGGCAGCAGUGAGGAAUAUUGGUCGAUGGGCGGAAGCCUGAACCAGCCAUGCCGCGUGCAGGAUGACGGCUCUACGAGUUGUAAACUGCUUUUGUACGAGGGUAAAGUGGGCUACGUGUAGCCUUUUGAAAGUAUCGUACGAAUAAGGAUCGGCUAACUCCGUGCCAGCCGCCGCGGUAA